rnacentral:rRNA from 1 species
UCUUGGUCAUUUAGAGGAAGUAAAAGUCGUAACAAGGUCUCCGUUGGUGAACCAGCGGAGGGAUCAUUAAAGAGUUGCAAAACUCCAAACCCACUGUGAACAUACCUGCAAGUUGCGUCGGCAGAUGGCUCCGGGAGGGCCCUCGCUUGUGCCCCAAAAGGCUAUAGGUAUCUGCCGAAAUAUUUCAUACUCUGCUAUACGUACUAUUCUGAAUACUAUUUAAUAAGUAAAAACUUUCAACAACGGAUCUCUUGGUUCUGGCAUCGAUGAAGAACGCAGCGAAAUGCGAUAAGUAAUGUGAAUUGCAGAAUUCAGUGAAUCAUCGAAUCUUUGAACGCACAUUGCGCCCGCCAGUAUUCUGGCGGGCAUGCCUGUUCGAGCGUCAUUUCAACCCUCAAGCACUGCUUGGUGUUGGGGCUCUACAGCAGUAGGCCCUAAAAACCAGUGGCGGGCUCGCUAUUAUCCCGAGCGUAGUAAAAAGCAUCGCUCUAGGGUUUACUAGCGGGUUCUAGCCGUUAAGCCCACUAAAUCUAAAGGUUGACCUCGGAUCAGGUAGGAAUACCCGCUGAACUUAAGCAUAUCAAUAAGCGGAGG